rnacentral:rRNA from 1 species
GAUGAACGCUGGCGGCGUGCUUAACACAUGCAAGUCGAACGGAAAGGCCCUGCUUUUGUUGGGUUCUCGAGUGGCGAACGGGUGAGUAACACGUGUGUAACCUGCCCUUGACUUUGGGAUAACUUCAGGAAACUGGGGCUAAUACCGGAUAGGAGCUCCUGCUGCAUGGUGGGGGUUGGAAAGUUUCGGCGGUUUGGGAUGGUCUCGCGGGUUAUCAGCUUGUUGGUGGGGUAGUUGCUUACCAAGGCUUUGACGGGUAGCCGGCAUGAGAGGGUGACCGGCGACAUUGGGACUGCGGUAGGGCCCAGACUGCUACGGGAGGCAGCAGUGGGGAAUAUUGCGCAAUGGGGGGAAGCCUGAUGCAGAAACGCCGCGUGCGGGAUGACGGCCUUCGGGUUGUAAACCGCUUUCGCCUGUGACGAAGAGUGAGUGACGGUAAUGGGUAAAGAAGCACCGGCUAACUACGUG